AUUGAACGCUGGCGGCAUGCCUUACACAUGCAAGUCGAACGGCAGCACGGGAGCGAUCCUGGUGGCGAGUGGCGAACGGGUGAGUAAAGUAUCGGAACGUGCCCAGUCGUGGGGGAUAACGUAGCGAAAGUUACGCUAAUACCGCAUACGAUCUAUGGAUGAAAGCGGGGGAUCGCAAGACCUCGCGCGAUUGGAGCGGCCGAUAUCGGAUUAGGUAGUUGGGGGGGUAAAGGCUCACCAAGCCGACGAUCUGUAGCGGGUCUGAGAGGACGACCAGCCACACUGGGACUGAGACACGGCCCAGACUCCUACGGGAGGCAGCAGUGGGGAAUUUUGGACAAUGGGCGAAAGCCUGAUCCAGCCAUGCCGCGUGCAGGAUGAAGGCCUUCGGGUUGUAAACUGCUUUUGUACGGAACGAAAAGGUUUGGCCUAAUAAGCUGAGCUCAUGACGGUACCGUAAGAAUAAGCACCGGCUAACUACGUGCCAGCAGCCGCGGUAA
rnacentral:rRNA from 1 species